UCGCUCGCUGGCUUCAUUAUGCAACAUUAUCCUGGCAAAUUUCUUUCAUCAUGUACUCAAAGGUAUAAGGGAUCUAAAGAACAGUCAAGUGCUAUUGUGAGAGAAUAAAUCUGCGGUGAUGGAUAGAGUUUUGUGUUCCCUAUCUGCCAAGUUUUCAAAUGACGAGGGUGAGAAUGACAAAGUGUCAAGCCGUGAAGGAUAAUCUUAGCAGACAAAAAUGGUAUUUAACAUCUAAAAUACACGCGCCAGGAAAUAUGAAGAAUUAAACUCCCCGGAAAGGAUAAUUUUAUAAUCAUGUCGAUACAGAAGUUAUUUCAAAAUAUAUGUCUUUCAUAAAGUCUA